GACGAACGCUGGCGGCGUGCCUAAUACAUGCAAGUAGGACGCAGUUGCGAACGGGUGAGUAACGCGUAGGUAACUACCUAUUAGAGGGGGAUAACUAUUGGAAACGAUAGCUAAUACCGCAUACUAGUAGAUGGACCUGCGUUGUAUUAGCUAGUAGGUAGGGUCAUGGCCUACCUAGGCAACGAUACAUAGCUGAGCUGAGAAGGUGAUCGGCAAAAAGGGGAGUGAGACACGGGCAAGAGUCCAACAGGAGGCAGCAGUAGGGAAUCUUCGGCAAGGGGGAGAAACCUGACCGAACAACGCAGCGGGAGUGAAGAAGGGUUACGGAUCGUAAAAAGAUGUUGUUAGAGAAGCGGUACUUAACCAGAAAGGAACGGCUAAAUACGUGCCAGCAACCGCGGUAGUAC
rnacentral:rRNA from 1 species